rnacentral:rRNA from 1 species
GGGCGAGUAACACGUGGAUAACCUACCUAUAAGACUGGGAUAACUUCGGGAAACCGGAGCUAAUACCGGAUAAUAUAUUGAACCGCAUGGUUCAAUAGUGAAAGAUGGUUUUGCUGUCACUUAUAGAUGGAUCCGCGCCGCAUUAGCUAGUUGGUAAGGUAACGGCUUACCAAGGCAACGAUGCGUAGCCGACCUGAGAGGGUGAUCGGCCACACUGGAACUGAGACACGGUCCAG